UACGUAGGGGGCUAGCGUUGUCCGGAUUUAUUGGGCGUAAAGAGCGUGUAGGCGGCCAGGUAGGUCUGGUGUGAAAACUCGAGGCUUAACCUCGAGAUGUCAUCGGAAACCAUUUGGCUAGAGUCCGGAAGAGGAGAGUGGAAUUCCUGGUGUAGCGGUGAAAUGCGCAGAUAUCAGGAAGAACACCAAUGGCGAAAGCAGCUCUCUGGGACGGUACUGACGCUGAGACGCGAAAGCGUGGGGAGCGAUCCGG
rnacentral:rRNA from 1 species